UACAGAGGUCCCGAGCGUUGUUCGGAUUCAUUGGGCGUAAAGGGUGCGUAGGCGGUUUGCUAAGUUUGAUGUGAAAUCCCGGGGCUCAACCCUGGAAUUGCAUUGAAUACUGGCGGACUAGAGUCCUGGAGAGGAAACUGGAAUUUACGGUGUAGCAGUGAAAUGCGUAGAGAUCGUAAGGAAGACCAGUGGCGAAGGCGAGUUUCUGGACAGGUACUGACGCUGAGGCACGAAGGCCAGGGGAGCAAACGGG
rnacentral:rRNA from 1 species